rnacentral:rRNA from 1 species
CAGUCGCCGCGGGAAUACGAAGGGGGCUAGCGUUGCUCGGAUUUACUGGGCGUAAAGGGCGCGUAGGCGGACAGUUUAGUUGGGGGUGAAAGCCCGGGGCUCAACCUCGGAACUGCCUUCAAUACUGGCUGUCUUGAGUACGGGAGAGGUGAGUGGAACUCCGAGUGUAGAGGUGAAAUUCGUAGAUAUUCGGAAGAACACUAGUGGCGAAGGCGACUCACUGGCCCGUUACUGACGCUGAGGCGCGAAAGCGUGGGGAGCAAACAGGAUUAGAUACCCCCGUAGUCCCUGUCUCUUAUAC